rnacentral:snoRNA from 14 species
CCGCAGCUAAUUAAGCCGGCCGUGCCCCUCCCCCGUAGGGGCCCGGCGUGCACUGGCUGCGCACAGAGACCCCUCCCCUCCCCGGCUGUGUAGGGACCCCUCCCCACCCUGGGGGGGCUCCCAAAGGGGCCGGGGGGACAAAA